UUUGGCCUUAGACCCAAACCACACAUACGCACAAUGGAUCCCUAAUCUCGGAUCCAACCAUGGCCAAUUCAGGUUCGAUGACACAAAUGCUACCCGAGUCCAAAGCAUUUAUGUACUCUAAUGGAAAUAUGUCUCCUCAACGCUCAAUGUUCCGCCGUACGUCAAGCACACGCCGUCGCUUCUCCUUCAAUUGCGAAGAAAGUAUACUCGCAGAAAAAUGCCUCAUUCAACGUUCAAUGUUCCUCCGCACUUCAAGCACACGCCGCCGCUUCUCCUUCAAUCGCGACGGAAGGCCAUUCACCGAAGAUUGCCUCAAUUAACGUUCUCUCGGUGGUUUCCUCUCUGUGAUCGAAAGUUGAAUGGAAAAUGGGAACGAAAUCAAAGAGAACUCACCAGAUUGCACAGCUAAUGAAUUCACCUCGACUUGAUCUUCUUCUUCACGUGCGUUGUUGUUUGUGCAAAUUCUUGGUGUGUUAUGUCUUCUUCUUCUCCGGCUCUAUUUUCUUCUUUUGUCAUGAUUCUGUUAUCGCUUCCGUGGGUUUUUUCAUGAGGCUUGAAGGUCCUGUUAGGGUGGUUAUAGGAUUCUGCAGGGUGAUUCGUGAAGUUUGAGAAGAUUCCAAAAAGGUCUACAGAAUCGUGGAAUUUACCGUGUGUAUUAAAGAGGGAAUUAGAAGAAUGAAGGAUGAAGUUUGAAGAUGAGGAGUGAAUCAGUGAUGGAGAUCGAAGAGUGGAGCAGAAUGAUUGAAGAAGCCUCUCAAUCUGAACUGCCAUGAAGUAUAUAUAAGAAUCAUGGUUAGUUAGUAAUCCAAAUCUAGUUGGCAAUUCUGUUACACUUUUUAUGAUUGAGGUAUGAUUCAGUUGGCCAAAUGCAGUUAGAUACAAGAGGUUAGUUAGGGUUGGUCCAAACAGUUAGGAGGUUGGAAAGGAAAUUAGUUAUUUUAUUGAAAUUCAAAUUCAACUGAAUUUCCUUUUGUGAGAUAACACUGAAAUUGGAUCUCCUCCCUUCCUUUCCUGCAAGUGAAUUUAAAGGUUAUUGUGAAGAAGUGAAUUUGGCUUUCAACUGAAAAAUGGCUAGGUUGGUUGUAUUUACGGUUUAGGCUACAUUGGAGGGUGGAGUUCAAAUGGUCAGAAUUGUUUGGUUUCGUUUAUAUUAUUAUGAGCCAAAUUGUUAGUAAUUAAUUGGUUCCUUUCUUCGCGAAACCAAAGCAGAAUGGUUAUUAAAAUUGGCUUGUUGGUUAAAAUGAUGAAGCAAUGAAUAUGUGAUGAAUGUUUGUCAAUGCAGUUAAUUUGUGAAAUCAAAUAGUUUGUAGUGAGCAUUGGAUGCUAGUUAGUAAUGCA